UACGUAGGGUGCAGGCGUUAAUCGGAAUUACUGGGCGUAAAGCGUGCGCAGGCGGUUUUGUAAGUCUGUCGUGAAAUCCCCGGGCUCAACCUGGGAAUUGCGAUGGAGACUGCAAGGCUAGAAUCUGGCAGAGGGGGGUAGAAUUCCACGUGUAGCAGUGAAAUGCGUAGAGAUGUGGAGGAACACCGAUGGCGAAGGCAGCCCCCUGGGUCAAGAUUGACGCUCAUGCACGAAAGCGUGGGGAGCAAACAGG
rnacentral:rRNA from 1 species